UACGAGUGCCCCAAGCGUUAUCCGGAAUUAUUGGGCGUAAAGGGUGUGUAGGUGGCUUUGUUAGUCUUUUGUGAAGCUUCCCGGCUUAACCGGGGAAACGCAGGGGAAACGGCAAAGCUAGAGGAUGCGAGAGGUAUAUGGAACUCAUGGUGUAGGGGUGAAAUCCGUUGAUAUGCAUGGGGAACACCGAAAGCGAAGGCAAUAUACUGGCGCACUCCUGACACUGAAACACGAAAGCGUGGGUAGCGAAUGGG
rnacentral:rRNA from 1 species